GGUACGGUAUACUCUGCUCAGGUGAUAGAUGCACCAAAAUCUCAGAAAUCACUGCUGAAGAACUUGUUCAUGUAACUAAACACAACCUGUUCCCCAAAAACCUAUUGAAAUAAAAAAAUUAAAUAUUGAAAAGAAAAAUAUAAUAAUGUUUAAAAUA